rnacentral:rRNA from 1 species
CCUACGGGAGGCAGCAGUGAGGAAUAUUGGUCAAUGGACGCAAGUCUGAACCAGCCAUGCCGCGUGCAGGAAGACGGCUCUAUGAGUUGUAAACUGCUUUUGUACGAGGGUAAACGCAGAUACGCGUAUCUGUCUGAAAGUAUCGUACGAAUAAGGAUCGGCUAACUCCGUGCCAGCAGCCGCGGUAAUACGGAGGAUUCAAGCGUUAUCCGGAUUUAUUGGGUUUAACGGGUGCGUAGGCGGUCGGAUAAGUUAGAGGUGAAAUCCCGAGGCUCAACUUCGGAAUUGCCUCUGAUACUGUUCGGCUAGAGAGUAGUUGCGGUAGGCGGAAUGUAUGGGGUAGCGGGGAAAUGCUUAGAGAUCAUACAGAACACCGAUUGCGAAGGCAGCUUACCAAGCUACUUCUGACGUUGAGGCACGAAAGCGUGGGGAGCAAACAGGAUUAGAUACCCCUGUAGUC